UUUCGCUGGAAUUUACUGAUUAUCAAAGUCAUGUGAUUCGAUAUGGUGGAGUUGACCUGCAGUGCGUCGAAUAAAACGUCUCUCAGUCAUUUUGAAAUUCAAAUUACAGUAACACAUUGCGUAGGCUGAGGAUGACAAUCAUGACACCUUCAAAGCGACACAGGAUUUAGCAAGAACAUAUUGACUUCUAUUUCACUAUUCCACUUAACAAAAAGUAAUGCUCUAUAGCACUCUCAUGAAAAAAAAGUUCCACAACAACAGUAUCUAACUAUACGGAAACAUGUUUAACCACAAACGCCCCAGCCUAUUUUAAAAUAAUAUAGCUGAAUAAUGAUCCCCAGUCAGUAUAAGCUCUAUAUAGAUUUAAAUUCGUAAGUACGAACCAUUUGAUUUGAGGAGACAGUCUAAGAUAUAUUUUGAGAGAAAAAAAAUUAACUCUGAUUUUUGCCUUAAACAAAAAUUCUAGACGCAAAACUUUGAACAAUCUUGUCCACUUUUUUGCUAUUAGAAACGAAAAUUCCAACAGAAUUAUUUAGCAUUAAAUGAACAUGAUGAAUAAAAGCGGGCAUAUUUUUUGUGACAGGGGUUUUCAUGUCUGACCGGAAUGUCUGUUUCGCCGAACUGAUAUAUGGAAUACUUUUUUCAAGACCAGACUGCAACCUGCCUGCUGGGUGUGGCCUUUAUGUCUUCAUUUGUCGGUGGGCAUUCAUAAAUUCGUUGUCAUUUCACACUCAUUCUUAGUCUUUUAUUGAUUUGGAACCCUUUACUUCCCUUAAUGUUGUUGAGUGAAACAUAUCAACCAAACAUUUGGAUAAAAAAUUUCUUGUUUGUCUUUUUUAACUCGUGUCGGUUGUAUUUCAAAUUCAAUCGAAUAGCCCAGCGUAUAUCUUGUUAACAACAAGAACUCUAUGAGGUUAUUCUAACUUAACUUACAACAAACGUGCGAGAAUUUUCCAUGCCUAUGUUUUACUGACAAAUCACACAUUAAAUGUAUCAGUACAUAGCUCUUGGAUCCAAACUAUCAUUUAAUGAUAUAAAUUGAUAGGAAGAUGCAGCAUCUAAAAUGUCCAACCCUUACACCUUACCAGCAACUACGAACUUUGACUUGUUACUUCAAGGAACUAGCACUUUAACCAUGGAGUACAAUACACAUCAACACGUCAUUGUUGAGAAACAAAUGAAAGCCUUGCUGUUGUUUGGAAAUUACCGUUCUCAUUCAUUUGAAAGAAUGUUUUUUACUCUUUUUUAUGCGUAAAAAAUCACUUUUAAAGAAUAGACUUAUUUUUUGAAGAUUAGAGAAAAAAGGGGUGAAAAUUAAAUGUUUACAGAAUAACA
rnacentral:lncRNA from 1 species